rnacentral:rRNA from 1 species
GACGAACGCUGGCGGCGUGCCUAAUACAUGCAAGUCGAACGAACUCUGGUAUUGAUUGGUGCUUGCAUCAUGAUUUACAUUUGAGUGAGUGGCGAACUGGUGAGUAACACGUGGGAAACCUGCCCAGAAGCGGGGGAUAACACCUGGAAACAGAUGCUAAUACCGCAUAACAACUUGGACCGCAUGGUCCGAGUUUGAAAGAUGGCUUCGGCUAUCACUUUUGGAUGGUCCCGCGGCGUAUUAGCUAGAUGGUGGGGUAACGGCUCACCAUGGCAAUGAUACGUAGCCGACCUGAGAGGGUAAUCGGCCACAUUGGGACUGAGACACGGCCCAAACUCCUACGGGAGGCAGCAGUAGGGAAUCUUCCACAAUGGACGAAAGUCUGAUGGAGCAACGCCGCGUGAGUGAAGAAGGGUUUCGGCUCGUAAAACUCUGUUGUUAAAGAAGAACAUAUCUGAGAGUAACUGUUCAGGUAUUGACGGUAUUUAACCAGAAAGCCACGGCUAACUACGUGCCAGCAGCCGCGGUAAUACGUAGGUGGCAAGCGUUGUCCGGAUUUAUUGGGCGUAAAGCGAGCGCAGGCGGUUUUUUAAGUCUGAUGUGAAAGCUUCGGCUCAACCGAAGAAGUGCAUCGGAAACUGGGAAACUUGAGUGCAGAAGAGGACAGUGGAACUCCAUGUGUAGCGGUGAAAUGCGUAGAUAUAUGGAAGAACACCAGUGGCGAAGGCGGCUGUCUGGUCUGUAACUGACGCUGAGGCUCGAAAGUAUGGGUAGCAAACAGGAUUAGAUACCCUGGUAGUCCAUACCGUAAACGAUGAAUGCUAAGUGUUGGAGGGUUUCCGCCCUUCAGUGCUGCAGCUAACGCAUUAAGCAUUCCGCCUGGGGAGUACGGCCGCAAGGCUGAAACUCAAAGGAAUUGACGGGGGCCCGCACAAGCGGUGGAGCAUGUGGUUUAAUUCGAAGCUACGCGAAGAACCUUACCAGGUCUUGACAUACUAUGCAAAUCUAAGAGAUUAGACGUUCCCUUUGGGGACAUGGAUACAGGUGGUGCAUGGUUGUCGUCAGCUCGUGUCGUGAGAUGUUGGGUUAAGUCCCGCAACGAGCGCAACCCUUAUUAUCAGUUGCCAGCAUUAAGUUGGGCACUCUGGUGAGACUGCCGGUGACAAACCGGAGGAAGGUGGGGAUGACGUCAAAUCAUCAUGCCCCUUAUGACCUGGGCUACACACGUGCUACAAUGGAUGGUACAACGAGUUGCGAACUCGCGAGAGUAAGCUAAUCUCUUAAAGCCAUUCUCAGUUCGGAUUGUAGGCUGCAACUCGCCUACAUGAAGUCGGAAUCGCUAGUAAUCGCGGAUCAGCAUGCCGCGGUGAAUACGUUCCCGGGCCUUGUACACACCGCCCGUCACACCAUGAGAGUUUGUAACACCCAAAGUCGGUGGGGUAACCUUUUAGGAACCAGCCGCCUAAGGUGGGACAGAUGAUUAGGGUG